UAAAAGAUUUAUACCAAGUACCUAAUAUUUCAAAGUUAGGCGAUAUUUCUGCCAUCUAUGAAAUGAUAAAGCAUUUACAAGUUAAAACAACUUGUAAUUAGUUGUAUAGAUCUACCAAAAUUAUUUUCCACUGUUUUUUAAAAACGAGGG
ensembl:ncRNA Y43E12A.5 ncRNA